GUGAACAAGCCUACGGGUGAAACGCGUUAUCCAAUCCAAUUCACAGCUGAAUCAGAGCUGAUGCCGCUGCCAGUGGGAGGCUUGUGAGACCACGCGCCCGUGACACGGGCUUUUUCUAUUUUAUUUAUUCCUGACAUAGGCACCAAUCUACUCGGCCCGCUCUCAUUCCUGCAUUGCGCUGCGGCUCCCUGCAAUGUCCCCUGACACCAGGUAGCCGCAUGCGCUCUAACCGGAACAGUAGAAAGUCACUUUCCUUCCUUCCCAAUCAGUGGAUUACCCGGCCACUCUCUCAUCUUCCAUCCGCUGAUUAACAUAGGCGUAGGUAAAUCAAGAUGGAAUGACAGCAGAAGUUGCAGGACUAAUUCACUGGUUUCUCUUUCUCUCGUGUCAAGUCAGUUCAAAAGUAUAAUACAAUUAAGAGUGCCCCCAAACAAGAGUCUUCUUUUCUUUCCAUAACGAAUCAUGAAAGUACCCAUAUUACCAGCAAAAUACUACAAAUCGGCUGAUCGUCACCCUACAGCCCUGAUUGGUCGGGGAAAUCCAACGUUGGACAACCUGAUUCAUUGAUUCCGAUCACUGUGCCGAUAUUUUUUUUAUACAAUCAUCUGUGAAAUGCAGAAUGGCUCCAAUUGAUGGCUGAUGUACGGGCCCCAAAAGGCAGUAGCAUUAUUAACUGCAAAUACUGGUGAUUGGAAUUUCUGUGGUGAGAUAUGGCCUGAAUUAAGACAGUGUGAUGUGGAAAUAUGAGCAAAUCACUGUAGAAUUCUAAAUACAUUCAGCUGCUGGCAACUAGCUACCGCUCGUCAUUUACUACACAGCCACCUUUGUGCUGCAGGGGGCGUUCUUCAGUCCAGUGAUUCUCUUUGGUAUGAUGCUCACUGGUGGAAACCAUUUCUGAUGCAGCUGCUGCUACCAAGGAAGUAGCCAGAGUCACAAAGGAGAAACAAAGAUGGAAUCAGCAAUGCCAACCGACAACAAUCAGAGCUAAACUAAUGGGCCCAACACACUGGUAGAUAUUUUAGAACGAUAUGGACGAUAUCGUUCAUCUCGUUCAGUGUGGAGGCACAGUCUAUCAUAGUUUAUCAUUGCAAGCCAAUUUGGACGAUAUCGAUGUUUGCAAUGUCAAAUUGUACAAAUCGUUCAGUGUGUAUGCAAAAAAUUGUUCAUUGUUCAUAUCGCCCAAAUCGCACAGUGUGUAGGACCCUUUAGAUGGCAUCAGUAGAUCUAUUAUACAACCCUGUCCUUGGUGUGAUGACAUUACGAUUUGAUUUCUCACUGCCCUCACAUAUUUGUAACUGUGUUACAUUUGGUGAGUUGACCUAGCACAGCCAUUGCUGUCUGCAUGUCAUAUCAUUGAAUAAGAUGUUAUCUCUAUAUCUAUCUGUAAAUAUGAAUUCAUCAGAGAGCUAUCGGACAGUGCGACAGGUUAGAUAGCUCUCUCGAGUGUUUAGGAGCAGAGGUUUAUGUUCCCAUGAACAAUUACUGAUACAUAUUAGACAACCCCUGUGCAGUACUAAUAAGCUAGCACAGCAGUUAUGUUAGUCCAUGUUAAUCCUUUGUACAGAAGAAAAAUCCCCCUCAGCUAUGACCAAAUCACUAUUACAAUUUGUGAUCCGCCCCUGAAUCAAUUUAUGAGUGUCAUUGCCCCAGUUAGGAAAGUAUGGGCUGACCUGGAAGUAAAGCUGCGGCCUCUAUUUUACUAACGGACCUCAGCCGAGUUAGGAUCUUAUCUUCUUUCCAUCUAUAGCGGCUUCCCUUUUGGCAUGGGGAAAAUGCCAUUAGGACAUUAACUGAAGACAUUUCCUCCCCGCAAUUUUUCACCAUUCUCUUUAAGAAAAUGGGCAAAUUGACAGAGGCUCACUUCUCAACAGACUUAGACCUCAUACAUUACUCAUGCAUAAGCUUUUGGUGUAUUGUUCUUAAUGUAUAAGUUUGCUUGGUUCUUCUCACAUAGGGGGUCAUUCAGAGUUGUUCGCUCGGUAUUUUUCUUCGCAUCGCAGCGAUUUUCCGCUAACUGCGCAUGCGCAAUGUUCGCACUGCGACUGCGCCAAGUAAAUUUGCUAUGCAGUUAGGUUUUUUACUCACGGCAUUACGAGGUUUUUUCUUCGUUCUGGUGAUCGUAGUGUGAUUGACAGGAAGUGGGUGUUUCUGGGCGGAAACAGGCCGUUUUAUGGGAGUGUGUGAAAAAACGCUACCGUUUCUGGGAAAAACGCGGGAGUGGCUUGAGAAACGGAGGAGUGGCUGGGCGAACGCUGGGUGUGUUUAUGACGUCAAACCAGGAACAACAAGCACUGAACUGAUCGCAGAUGCAGAGUAAGUUUGAAGCUACUCAGAAACUGCUAAGAAGUGUCUAUUCGCAAUUUUGCUAAUCUUUCGUUCGCAAUUUUGAUAAGCUAAGAUUCACUCCCAGUAGACGGCGGCUUAGCGUGUGCAAAGCUGCUAAAAGCAGCUUGCGAGCGAACAACUCUGAAUGACCACCAUAAGCUGUAUGCAAAGACCCUUAGUUAUUUUUUCUGUAUCCCUUUUACACUAUAUAGCACAUUAAAACAAAAACAAAAAAAUGUGAAAAAGAAA